rnacentral:rRNA from 1 species
GACGAACCUUGCUAACGUUAUUCGGAAUUACUGGGCUUAAAGGUGCGUAGGCGGUGCAGAAAGUUGGGUGUGAAAGCCCUCGGCUCAACCGAGGAAUUGCGCCCAAAACUGCUGCACUAGAGGAAGACAGAGGUACGCGGAACUUAGGGUGGAGCGGUGAAAUGCGUUGAUAUCCUAAGGAACACCGGUGGCGAAAGCGGCGUACUGGGUCUUAGUCUGACGCUGAGGCACGAAAGCUAGGGGAGCGAACGGG